ACAAAGGCAAUGAAGAUGGCUGCGCUGUCAGGAAGUGGACUCAAGUGACACAUGAAGUGUCUUUUCUUUGGCUUGCACACCAUUCCGUCUCCAGGAGGAGCAUUUCUUCAAAACAUUACAAGAACGUGUGCAAAAACAUGUUAUUGAUGGUUAGGUGGGGGUGAAGGUUGUGUCCACCAGGAGGCGAGAGGAAGAGCAGAAGCAGCUUGCAGGUGCGAUAUCCCUCCUUCCCAGCAGUUGUCUCCAGUAUCCCCCCCCCCCCAUACCCUCCACAUGCUUGAUGAUCUUGCACUCUUCCGCCAUGAUGUUUACUCUGGGGCGAGCCAAGGCGGAGAGGAGAGACGGGG